CCUACGGGUGGCAGCAGUGGGGGAUAUUGCACAAUGGGGGGAACCCUGAUGCAGCGACGCCGCGUGGGUGAAGAAGCGCCUCGGCGCGUAAAGCCCUGUCAGCAGGGAAGAAAAUGACGGUAUCUGAAGAAGAAGCCCCGGCUAACUACGUGCCAGCAGCCGCGGUAAUACGUAGGGGGCAAGCGUUACCCGGAUUUACUGGGUGUAAAGGGGGCGCAGACGGGGAAGCAAGCCAGGUGUGAAAGCCCGGGGCUCAACCCCGGGACUGCUCUUGGAACUGCGUGGCUGGAGUGCAGGAGGGGCAGGCGGAAUUCCUGGUGUAGCGGUGAAAUGCGUAGAUAUCAGGAGGAACACCGGUGGCGAAGGCGGCCUGCUGGAAUGCAACUGACGUUGAGGCCCGAAAGCGUGGGGAGCAAACAGGAUUAGAUACCCCUGUAGUC
rnacentral:rRNA from 1 species